GGGGGUGUAGCGCAGAGGUCGUCGCGCCUACACGUCAUGGGGGAGGACGCCGGUUCGAAUCCGGCCGCCCCCG
rnacentral:tRNA from 2 species